UUUUUAUUUAAUUUCAGGUCUGGUUUAAUUUAUUGUAAGUCCCAGACCUUGACUAAUUUAAUUUGCAUGGUUCACCAUGAGCAUGUCAUUUGCGAUUCAAAUUUCAGCAUUUUUUGGUAUGUGAUUUUGGUGCAUAGUUCCUCCUGAGGAAAAUUACAUGGGAGAUGAUUUGGAUUGAGGCUGAGAAGAGGCAGG
rnacentral:miRNA from 1 species